UGCCUCUUUCCCUUCGGUCGACGUGGACACUGUGCCGGACACCUCUGGCAGGACUAACCCCGUGGCUUUUAUGUCCAGCGUGCUGUGCUGUGUGUGCCUGCAGGUAAGAAAAGCUGGGAGUGCAGUCCCUCUGCUUUGAUUGCUGUGUCUCUUGGGUAGCGAUUUUGGAGGGGAAUCCCAGAGCGAUUUGGUUUGAAGGGGACCUUCAAAGGCCAGCCUGUCUUCCGUGGGCAGGGACACCUUCCACUGUCCCCGGUUGCUCCGAGUCCCAUCCAGCCUGGCCUGGAACACUUGCAGGGAUGGGGCAGGCUCAGUUUCCCUGUGCAGUGUGCUCUAAUAUCUCUCCACUGGCAUCCUGAAAAAUGUUGUCAGUGUGUUUUGUUGGACGACGCUAGGCAGGACCUGGGUGAAAAGGACAUUCUCUGAGGUGCUGGGAGAAGGAGGACUCGUGCGGGCACCUCCAGAGACAGCGGGAACGGGAGCGUGCUGCGGAGAAGGAAAAUUCCAGGGGAAUUGCCACGAGAGGAAAUACCUCAGAGGGGCUUCCCUCCAGAUAAGCCCUGAAUAUGCCAGGAGGUUUCAGCCGGGAGAAAGGAGCUGUGGAAGAAAAGCAGCCUAAAAGUAGCCAGCGGGGAUCAUCAGGUUUUCCAGGCAAGAAGAACAAGGAGAGAGAUGAGGGAAUGGGGUUCCAAUUCCUAAUGAUUUGGUGGGUGCAGGAAUGAUUUGUGUGUGUUUUCCAGUCCCUUUUGAUUCCUGAGAUGAUUUUAAAAUGAUGGCUUUAGCAAUCAACUAAAUCGGAGAUGUUGUUUUUGAGAGGAAAUGGUGCCAAAUAAAUGCAGAGUUUUGGGUCA